AAAUGAAAUUUAUAAGCCGAAGACAGUAGGCGGGGCAAAACCCCUUAAUCUCCUACCGAGGAACAAUAUAAGAUUUAAAUCUUCUUUUGCCUCGGUGGAAGAAGAUUUUUCAUUUC
rnacentral:sRNA from 1 species